CCCAGUCCAGCCCCGACUCCACCAUGGGCCCUGGGCCAGUGUGGUUGGUGGCUGUUUGUGUCCUGGGAGCAGGCCCCGCGGAUGCUGGAGUCACCCAGACCCCCAGACACCUGGUCACCGGUGGGGGACAGAAUGUGAUGCUGAGCUGUGUGCCUAUUUCCUCUCACUAUGGACUGUUCUGGUACCGGCAGCACACAGGGAAAGGAUUAGAGUUAUUGAUGUCCUUUCAGAACCAACAGCCCACGCAGAAAAUGCAGUCUAAUGACAGCUCUCGGUUCUCCGUCUCAUGGUUCCAGGAAAAGUCCUGCCACCUGCACGUGAACCACAGCUCGCCUAGCGAUUCAGCAUUUUACCUGUGUGCCAGCAGUGAAGACACAGUGCUGCAGAGCACACUAUCCUCCAUGCACAAACCUCCCCACCCAGUACAGAAAGCAGGCCCCGUGGAUGCCAGAGUCACCCAGACACCCAGAAAGCUGAUCACCAAACAGGGACAGAACGUGACUCUGAGCUGUGAGCAGGACCAGAACCACUACACCAUGUACUGGUACCGGCAGGACCAAGGACAGGUGCUGCAGCUCAUCUAUUACUCCAUUGCAGAAGGACAGGAGGCCAAGGGUGAAGCCUCAUGA